GCUUCCCUCUUUCUUCGUGCUUAACACAUGCCAGUCGAACGGAAAGGCUCCUGCUUGCAGGGGUACUCGAGUGGCGAACGGGUGAGUAACACGUGGGUGAUCUGCCCUGCACUUCGGGAUAAGCCUGGGAAACUGGGUCUAAUACCGGAUAGGACGAUGGUUUGGAUGCCAUUGUGGAAAGUUUUUCGGUGUGGGAUGAGCUCGCGGCCUAUCAGCUUGUUGGUGGGGUAAUGGCCUACCAAGGCGUCGACGGGUAGCCGGCCUGAGAGGGUGUACGGCCACAUUGGGACUGAGAUAAGGCCCAGACUCCUACGGGAGGCAGCAGUGGGGAAUAUUGCACAAUGGGCGCAAGCCUGAUGCAGCGACGCCGCGUGGGGGAUGACGGCCUUCGGGUUGGAAACUCCUUUCGCUAGGGACGAAGCGUUUUGUGACGGUACCUGGAGAAGAAGCACCGGCUAACUACGUG
rnacentral:rRNA from 1 species